UUGAAUUGAAGAGUUUGAUCAUGGCUCAGAUUGAACGCUGGCGGCAGGCUUAACACAUGCAAGUCGAACGGUAACAUAAAGAAGCUUGCUUCUUUGAUGACGAGUGGCGGACGGGUGAGUAAUGCUUGGGAAUCUAGCUUAUGGAGGGGGAUAACUACGGGAAACUGUAGCUAAUACCGCGUAAUAUCGAGAGAUUAAAGUGUGGGACCUUCGGGCCACAUGCCAUAGGAU
rnacentral:rRNA from 1 species